AGUGAACGCUGGCGGUAGGCCUAACACAUGCAAGUCGAACGGCAGCACAGUAAGAGCUUGCUCUUAAGGGUGGCGAGUGGCGGACGGGUGAGGAAUACAUCGGAAUCUACUUUUUCGUGGGGGAUAACGUAGGGAAACUUACGCUAAUACCGCAUACGACCUACGGGUGAAAGCAGGGGAUCUUCGGACCUUGCGCGAUUGAAUGAGCCGAUGUCGGAUUAGCUAGUUGGCGGGGUAAAGGCACACCAAGGCGACGAUACGUAGCUGGUCUGAGAGGAUGAUCGGCCACACUGGAACUGAGACACGGUCCAGACUCCUACGGGAGGCAGCAGUGGGGAAUAUUGGACAAUGGGCGCAAGCCUGAUCCAGCCAUACCGCGUGAGUGAAGAAGGCCUUCGGGUUGUAAAGCCCUUUUGUUGGGAAAGAAAGGCAGCAGGUUAAUACCCCGCUGUUCUGACGGUACCCAAAGAAUAAGCACCGGCUAACUUCGUG
rnacentral:rRNA from 1 species